GGGGUUGUAGCUCAGUGGUAGAGUGCUUACCUUGCAUGCAUGAGGCCAUGGGUUCGAUCCUCAGCACUA
rnacentral:tRNA from 1 species